GAUGUCCUCUACUUGGAACAAAUGUGCUCCUUUUUCUUGCAAUCUUUAAAAAUACAUCCAUCUAAAAGCCAUUAGCUGGACCCCUCACAGGACUUCUAAGCAGAGAUUUAAACUUUUAAGUGAACCUAUCUGCUAGAAGGAAAUUGGGAAGAAUUUAAUGAUCAGGGUAAUCUAUUAUUGUUUUCUACAUGUGGAAACUUUCUGUCUUGGAUAUUUUAUCUUUCUAACUCUUAUUCAGACUUUGGUACCAGUUCCCCAGGGCACACAGUGGGGUGACCUUGGCCCGCGUGCUGAGGCCUAGGAAUGGGGGACGAAGGGUAUCCCUGUAUACAUAAAGUGCUCAGCGGUGUGCACUGAUGGUGAGUUCAGUGAGCUGUGAUGGCCACUCCGUGACUGCUUACCAUCCUGCAUAGUCUCCAUUACAAAACACCGUGCUUGUAUGCGUAUACACUGCAGGUGUUGCUGUUAACAUUUGCAUAUUUAUUUUAACCAAAAUGUUAUUCAUAUUAAAUGUUUUUUCUUUAAAAUGAAUGUAUUAUGUUUAUAUCCCACCAAUGAAUAAUCUUAUGCCUCAUAUUUCAAUAGUACUGUAAUAUGAACUUUUGUGAAAUA
rnacentral:lncRNA from 1 species